rnacentral:rRNA from 1 species
UGGGGAAAUAUUGGACAAUGGGCGCAAGCCUGAUCCAGCUAUGCCGCGUGGAUGAAGAAGGCCUUCGGGUUGUAAAGCUCCUUUCCUUGGUGAAGAUAACGACGGUACACCUAAGAGGAAGCCCCGGCUAAUUUCGUGC